rnacentral:rRNA from 1 species
AACGAACGCUGGCGGCAGGCUUAACACAUGCAAGUCGAACGGGCCCUUCGGGGUCAGUGGCAGACGGGUGAGUAACACGUGGGAACGUGCCCUUCAGUUCGGAAUAACCCAGGGAAACUUGGGCUAAGACCGGAUACGCCCCUUGGGGGAAAGAUUUAUCGCUGAAGGAUCGGCCCGCGUCUGAUUAGCUAGUUGGUGAGGUAAAGGCUCACCAAGGCGACGAUCAGUAGCUGGUCUGAGAGGAUGAUCAGCCACACUGGGACUGAGACACGGCCCAGACUCCGACGGGAGGCAGCAGUGGGGAAUAUUGGGCAAUGGGCGCAAGCCUGAUCCAGCCAUGCCGCGUGAGUGAUGAAGGCCUUAGGGUUGUAAAGCUCUUUCGUCCGGGACGAUAAUGACGGUACCGGAAGAAGAAGCCCCGGCUAACUUCGUACCAGCAGCCGCCGUAAUAC